UGAAUACGAGACGCUAAGGCGUCGAAGUAGUGUAUGUCAUACUUCCAAGAAAAGCUUGCACUGUUAUAGAUAAAAAACGCCUGUACCAUAACCGACACAGGUGGGUAGGUAGAGUAUACUAAGGGGCGCGAGAUAACUCUCUCUAAGGAACUCGGCAAAAUAACUCCGUAACUUCGGGAGAAGGAGUGCCUUAUUCGUAAGGUUGCAAUAACAAGAUCCAAGCAACUGUUUAUCAAAAACACAGGUCUCCGCUAAGUCGUAAGACGAUGUAUGGGGGCUGACGCCUGCCCAGUGCCAGAAGGUUAAAGAAGUUGGUUAGCAAUUGCGAAGCUGAUAACUGAAGCCCUGGUGAACGGCGGCCGUAACGAUAACGGUCCUAAGGUAGCGAAAUUCCUUGUCGGGUAAGUUCCGACCCGCACGAAAGGCGUAAUGAUUUGGAUACUGUCUCGGAGAGGGGCUCGGUGAAAUAGACUUGUCUGUGAAGAUGCGGACUACCUGCACCAGGACAGAAAGACCCUAUGAAGCUUUACUGUAACUUGAAAUUGAAAUUGGACUUUAUUCGCGCAGUAUAGGUGGGAGGCGUUGAUUAUAAUCUUGUGGGAUUAUUGGAGCCAUCAGUGAGAUACCACUCUUGUAAUGUUAGAUUUCUAACUUUGAAUCAUUAUCUGGUCAAAGAACAGUUUCAGGCGGGCAGUUUGACUGGGGCGGUCGCCUCCUAAACGGUAACGGAGGCGUGCAAAGGUUUCCUCUGAACGGUUAGAAAUCGUAUCUAGAGUGUAAAGGCAUAAGGAAGCUUGACUGUGAGACCUACAAGUCGAGCAGGGACGAAAGUCGGUCUUAGUGAUCUGACGGUACUGAGUGGAAAGGCCGUCACUCAACGGAUAAAAGUUACUCUAAGGAUAACAGGCUGAUCUCCCCCAAGAGUUCACAUCGACGGGGAGGUUUGGCACCUCGAUGUCGGCUCAUCGCAUCCUGGGGCGGUAGUACGUCCCAAGGGUUGGGCUGUUCGCCCAUGAAAGCGGUACGCGAGCUGGGUUCAGAACGUCGUGAGACAGUUCGGUCCAUAUCCGGUGUAGGCGUUAGAAUAUUGAGAGGAGCCUUCUUUAGUACGAGAGGACCGAGAAGGACAUACCUCUGGUGUACCAGUUAUCGUGCCAACGGUAAACGCUGGGUAGCUAUGUAUGGAGUGGAUAACCGCUGAAAGCAUCUAAGUGGGAAGCCCACCUCAAGAUAAGUAUUCUC
rnacentral:rRNA from 1 species